UACAGAGGUCUCAAGCGUUGUUCGGAUUCAUUGGGCGUAAAGGGUGCGUAGGCGGCGCGGUAAGUCGGGUGUGAAAUCUCGGGGCUUAACUCCGAAACUGCAUUCGAUACUGCCGUGCUUGAGGACUGGAGAGGAGACUGGAAUUUACGGUGUAGCGGUGAAAUGCGUAGAUAUCGUAAGGAAGACCAGUGGUGAAGGCGGGUCUCUGGACAGUUCCUGACGCUGAGGCACGAAGGCCAGGGGAGCAAACGGG
rnacentral:rRNA from 1 species